AGAGACUCAACAGGAAGCCGCCAUGGUCCCAGCGACCACCGACAGGAGGGCUCGGCCGGUUAGCUGCUCCGGCCGGUUAGCUGUUCCGGCUAACCUCGGGGAACCUCGUAAGAAGAGCCGGGCUCCGGUUUACGGUUGAGGGAAUGCCAAGCUUACUGCUAUGUUCUUCCCACCAAGUGUUUGACCAUUACCAUGAGGGACAAACUUUUACAAAAAGGAGUGAGAGACAACAGGGGAACUCCGCAGAACAUGGAGGGACAUCAGUAGUCAUAAGCUGCAAGACAGAAACAGAACAGCGAUUGGUCAGUUUGUGCUCUUCUAGGACUGCAUGAGGAGGAAGAGGAGGAAGAGGAGCAUGCGAUCCACUCGGUAAAGAUCCGGGAUCAUGCAGGGAAGCGUCACACCAGGGUGCUCUUACUUUCUAUGGUGAGGAUGCAGGUGCUGGCCGCCGUGCCUCGGCUGUUCACGGCUUUGCACAUGUAUUCUCCUUCGUCCUCGGGGAAGGUCUCGGGCAGGUAGAGGCAGUACGUCUCUCCUCGCUCGAUGUACUGAUAGUCCUCGCAGUCCUGCAGCAUCUCGCCCUCGAACCACCAGGUCACCUCUGGCUUCGGUUCCCCGGUGAUCUUGACGGUGAACCGGACGGGCUCGGAAUCCACCACCGACUGGUUCUUCAGGGGCUUUUUGAACCAUGGAGCCCCCGACCGGGCAUGGUCCUCCUCGUCUUCGUACGCCGCCGAGCCGUUGAUGAUGCUGCCCUCCUCCUCGCCGUCAUCAUCCUUCUUCUGGGAACAGAUGACAAAUUAUCACAAGCACUGCCACUAUCUAACCGACUCUGACUACGCUGUGAGAAAACAACGAACAGAAAAAAAAGUGAAAAUCUAGGAGUGAAAAAUGCAUUAAAAACGGUGGAAUCCUGUAAAGUUCAGAAACUGUUAAAAGUGUUAAAGUAAGAGCAAAUAUGUAUAGAAUAAUACAUUUUUACCUGAUUUAAAUACUAUAUAUUUUCUACUCUCUCUCUCUCUCUCUCUCUCUCUCUCUCUCUCUAUAUAUAUAUAUAUAUAUAUA